rnacentral:rRNA from 1 species
GAACUUAAGCAUAUCAAUAAGCGGAGGAAAAGAAACUAACAAGGAUUCCCCUAGUAACGGCGAGUGAAGCGGGAAGAGCUCAAAUUUGUAAUCUGGCGGCCUUUGGCCGUCCGAGUUGUAGUCUCGAGAAGCGUUUUCUGCGCCGGACCGUGUACAAGUCCCUUGGAACAGGGCGUCACAGAGGGUGAGAAUCCCGUCUUUGACACGGACUGCCGGUGCUUUGUGAUGCGCUCUCAAAGAGUCGAGUUGUUUGGGAAUGCAGCUCAAAACGGGUGGUAAAUUCCAUCUAAAGCUAAAUAUUGGCGAAAGACCGAUAGCGAACAAGUACCGUGAGGGAAAGAUGAAAAGCACUUUGGAAAGAGAGUUAAACAGUACGUCAAAUUGCUGAAAGGGAAACGCUUGAAGUCAGUCGCGUCUCCCGGGACUCAGCCGUGCCCCCAUUCGGGGGGGUGUACUUUCUGGGUAUGACGGGCCCACAUUGAUUUUGGGCCGUCGGAGAAAGGGUUGGGGAAUGGGGCACCUUUGGGUGUGUUAUAACCCUGGGUCGCAUGCCAAGGGUGGGAAUCAAGGACCGCAACACGUUCUUCCUUUUYCAAAGGGGGCUUGGGGGUUCGCCACGCAAACCUUGCUUAAGAUGCUUGGCGUAAUGGCUUUAAACGAACCCGUUUUG